UACAAACUAUAACCAAUAAUAUAUAUUUAUUAACAUAUAGAGGGAGAUCAUAAAGUAUGCACCAUUUUACCUGUGUUAGUUGUAAAUAUACCUAUCUAUUAUGCACAAUUAUAAAUGACAAUACCAUCAAGAAAUAUAUGUAGUCUAUUUUUAUAAAAGCUUUAAACAAUAAUUUGAUAUACAUAAUACAUGCAUGUAUUUUUAGUAGAAGUUCUAUACAAAGUAAACCCCUCAAAAAUAUAUUGGGGAUGUAUUGAACAUAUUUAUUAUUGAAACUGGAAAUGCAACCGUAGAUUUAAAUUCCUUCAUCUGUAGGUCUUGUCGAGAUUGCUUGUUCAUGGAACAUCCAAAUACAAAAUUAAUCUGCUGUUCAUUUAUUAUGUAGAAUUAAAACUCGUAAUAUUUGUUUAAAAUUAAUACUAAACUAUAAGAUAAUAUAUAUGCAACAUAAUUAUAUAUUAAACAAAUUUUUAACAUUUUCCUAUACUAUAUGUUUUAAUUUAUUCCCCUGUUAAUUCCAAAAUAUUAUUGAAAACAAAAGAACAGCUAAAUCACGUAACAACAACAGCACCAACAAACAUAGUUGGUAAAAGAUUAUCUGUAUUAAUAUAAGAAAAUAAUCAUUUCAUAUUUAGUUUGAUGUGACAAAUUUGUAACUAAAUUGUCAGUCUGGUAGAGCUUUAUUAUUUUUCUAUCAAACAGUUUAAAGAUUUUUUUAAACCAGACUUAGCUUAUUAUUUAUAUUAUAUACUUAAUGACUAAACAUUUAGCACUAAUUUAUAAACUUAAAUAUGUAUAUAUGUAAUGAACACAAUAUUGACAACUGUAAUAAGAAAACAAUUAAACAUGUUUUCAAAAAAAAAUAAUAAUUAUGCACCAAAAAUAAACACUACAAAAAAUAUAUAGACAAUACAAAAAUUAAAUUGUAAACAAUAUCAACAAAGGCUUAUACAUAGUGGACAGACACUCAAAACCGUAAAUAAUUAUUUGAUAUCUACAGAAAUAUUCAAAAGCAAACUUACCCUAAAAUAGAUCUUUACAUUAACUUAUUGGAUUUAGAAAAAUAAGUCUUAUGAAAAAUAUAAAUUUCAAAGUGCAUGUAUUUCAUUGAAAAUCCUUGAAGCUAGAAAAUUAUAAAAAAACAAGAAUGUGUCCACAGUACACGGAUGCCCCACUCGCACUAUCAUUUCCUAUGUUUAGUGGACCGUGAAAUUGGGAUAAAUUCUCUAAUUUGGCAUUGAAAUUAGAAUGAUCUUAUCAAAGGGAACAUGUAUACUAAGUUUCAAGUUGAUUGGACUUCUACUUUAUCAAAAACUACCUUGAGCAAAAACUUUAACCUGAAAUUUGCACUAUCAUUUUCUAUGUUCAGUGAACCGUAAAAUUGGGGUCAAAACUCUAAUUUGGCAUUUAAAUUAGAAAGAUCAUAUCAUAGGGCACAUGUAUACUAAGUUUCAAGUUGAUUAGACUUCAACUUCAUCAAAAAAUACCUUGACCAAAAACUUUAACCUGAAGUGGGACAGACGGAUGAACGGACGGACGGACGGACGAACGGAAGCACAGACCAGAAAACAUAAUGCCCCUCUACUAUCGUAGGUGGGGCAUAAAAAUCACUAAUCAUUUGAAUUUUAGGAAUUUGUGUGAAUAGAUAGGAAGGAAAAUUCUAUUUUUAGACAUUGUUCUUUAUAGUUAUAUUUUUUCAUUUGAUGUAUGCAAAGUUACUCAAUGGAAGUAUGUUAGUUGUUUCAGAUUUUGGUGGUACAUGUACCUUCCUACCCUCACAUAUCUAUUUUAAUAGAAAAUCUGUUAUAAAUCUAUAUAUAAUGAAUGAUAUGCUAAAUGUUUCCAGGUUCAGAGGAUAAGAAACAAUAAUCAAAGUAAUCAACCUUUAAAAAUAUUCAAUAAAUGCCCAAUGAAAAUGGCAGUACAAUUCUUUACUGUGACUAGAUUACAAAUUUCUCUAGAAAUUGAAAUGGGAGUAAAACAGGACAGCAACUAACAUUUUAAUGAAUUAUUACCUAUAAGUUUUGUAGACCUCUUUGAAUAUGAAGUAAGGUAAAUAGACCAAAAAAUUGGUGCAAUGUACCAUACACAUAAUAAUUCUGAACACUUUUCAUUAUUAAGGAUCUACAGACAAGCCUAUGAAUAACAGUGUAUAAAAAUAUGGAUUUAUCAAAACAUUAAUGUAACAUUAAUGUAAUACUUUUAAAUAUAUCUUUAAUGUAACACUUUCAAAGAUAGGUAUUCAUCUAUAUGUUAUAACUUGGUCUUACUUUUACAAGAUGACUUGCUCGAGUUAAGUAAUUUAAAACUGAUAUUUCUACUUAAAUUAUGUUCUAUUUGAAAAAAGACCCUUACUGAGAAUAAACCAAAAACGCUUUAAACACCUUGUUAUCAUAAAUAGAAUCGUAUUCUAUGCAUCCAUUAAUGUUUUUUUAAAUAUCUAUUUCACUCCCUAGUAGUAAAUAUAAUUCAGUGGUCCUAUUUGUCAACAAACAUUAUAUACUAUAAUAUGAUAACCUCCUUUUUACACAACCUUUUAACAGACCACACACAUUGUUUAUUUUUUAUAUAUACUGAGUACAAUAGAAACACAACAAUUCAUGUAAUUGACUAAUUCUAUAAAGUACAAAUUAAAAUACGAAAACAACUUAUCUAUAAUGAAGCUUAAGGGCAUACGAUACAGUUAUAGGGGAGGUAAUGACGUUGCUAACGUAAAAUGUUAUUUUCGCGACGUCAAACUGUGACAUAUCAGGAAAAGAUGCAUUUUUCGACUGAUUUUUAUCAUUCAAACUGAUUUAAUUUGAAAACGAGUGCAUGGACCCCAAUUUUUUAAACCGACAUUUUGUUUCAAUUUUCAGGGAGAUUAUGUGGAUCAAAUUUGAUAAAACUGUAAAUAGUGCAAUUUUUU
rnacentral:lncRNA from 1 species